AGGUUAUAUAGUCUAAAAAGGACGUUAAAUUGCAAAUUUAAAAGUAAAUUAUUUUUAUAGCC
rnacentral:tRNA from 1 species